rnacentral:rRNA from 1 species
UGGGGAAUAUUGGACAAUGGGCGCAAGCCUGAUCCAGCCAUGCCGCGUGAGUGAUGAAGGCCUUAGGGUUGUAAUGCUCUUUUUGGCGGGGACGAUAAUGACGGUACCCGCAGAAUAAGCCCCGGCUAACUUCGUGCCAGCAGCCGCGGUAAUACGAAGGGGGCUAGCGUUGUUCGGAAUUACUGGGCGUAAAGCGCACGUAGGCGGAUCAGCAAGUCAGGGGUGAAAUCCCGGGGCUCAACCUCGGAACUGCCUCUGAUACUGCUGGUCUGGAGUCCGGAAGAGGUGGGUGGAAUUCCUAGUGUAGAGGUGAAAUUCGUAGAUAUUCGGAAGAACACCAGUGGCGAAGGCGACUGACUGGACAAGUAUUGACGCUGAGGUACGAAAGCGUGGGGAGCAAACAGGAUUAGAUACCCCAGUAGUCCCUGAGCGGGCUGGCAAGGCGCAU